rnacentral:rRNA from 1 species
UAGUAAUCGCGGAUCAGCAUGCCGCGGUGAAUACGUUCUCGGGCCUUGUACACACCGCCCGUCACACCAUGGGAGUCGGUAACACCCGAAGUCUGUAGCCUGACGCAAGAGGGCGCAGCCGAAGGUGGGAUUGAUGACUGGGGCGAAGUCGUAACAAGGUACC